rnacentral:ribozyme from 1 species
UGCCCAGCAACUCCUAUCCCUACCUCCACGUGGUACCGGCUGGAAACUACGAGAAAUCUUAGGGAAGA